UACGUAGGGUGCGAGCGUUGUCCGGAAUUAUUGGGCGUAAAGAGCUCGUAGGCGGUGUGUCGCGUCGGCCGUGAAAACCUGGGGCUCAACUCUGGGCGUGCGGUCGAUACGGGCAUCACUUGAGUUCGGCAGGGGAGACUGGAAUUCCUGGUGUAGCGGUGAAAUGCGCAGAUAUCAGGAGGAACACCGAUGGCGAAGGCAGGUCUCUGGGCCGAUACUGACGCUGAGGAGCGAAAGCGUGGGGAGCAAACAGG
rnacentral:rRNA from 1 species